UCAUAGAUAAAAAACAAUUCUCCAAGUCAAAAUAGAAAUUUCCUCUCCCUGCCUAACCAGGACGAGCGAACUCCUGCUCGCCGCCGCCGCCGCAUCCUCUUGCCAGCCGCCCCAUCAUCCCUCCACCGUCCCUCCUUCCCGCCGCCGCCGCAUCACCCCUCCUCCGUAUCCCCCUCCCGCUGCCUCACUCCUGUGAUCCACCCGCCGUAGCCAGGUGGUACGACGCCCUCUCCUCAUCACGCCGGAUCCCGGCCGCCGCCGCUCUCUUCACCGGCGGGAUCGGAGCCGCCAGCCACAACAUCAGUAUCGUAGUCGGCCCUCGUCGCCCGCGGGAUCAAUUGGGAGGUCAACAAGCUGCGAGAGCAAACUCUACGACAGGUGCAUUUGAAUACAUGUGAUGGAAAAACUGAUCGGAAAAGAGCAAAGGAGAAAACUUGUCCAGCAGAAUAUCCUCAAGUUGUGGAAAAGGCAGCAAACUUUGUAAAUAAUAAACUCUAAAGGUUACAUCAUAGUUAUCGGAAUGACCAGCAUUUUUUAGAUGAUUAGGCCUUUUUCCAUAAUUACAAACACUCCCAGGAUGAAUUUCUGUUGGACAAAGAAGGAGGGACCUAUUUCAACACUCCCGGAGAAGACCCUUCUGUCCUUUUGCGUGUUAAAGAAGACUAUGAUGGUGCAGAACCCUCUGGAAACUCGAUGGCAGCGAUUAACAUGAUCAGAUUUCCCAGUAUAUUUGAUGCCGCAAAAUCUGAAGGCUACCCUUCUGUCCUUUUGCGUGUUAAAGAAGACUAUGAUGGUGCAGAACCCUCUGGAAACUCGAUGGCAGCGAUUAACAUGAUCAGAUUUCCCAGUAUAUUUGAUGCCGCAAAAUCUGAAGGCUACAAACGUAAUGUUGAACAUCUUCUAGUGUACUUAUCUAGUCUACGUUUAUAUGCACUACACUACAACAGUGAUUUGGUUUCAGAACAUGAGGUUUACACUUCACAGUAGCAUAAAAGAUUAUGCAUUUUGAUUUAUGUAGCUUGAAGUGUGAUUUCAGUAGAUAGAAAUGGUGCUGGUGGGGGACAAAAGGAUCUCUGCAGAAUUUCGAAACAUGAUUGCAGCUGCUUUCUCAUCAUAUGAUCAAAGAGAACAAUCCAGUUGAUGCAGAUAGACCCCAGGAACAAUGCAAACAUCGCGUAGAUGGCACGGGGCAGCCCAGAGAGACGGUCGCUGCUCAACAAGACUUUUCUGUUUGCACCCAAUAAGGAUAGGCUAGUUUCGUAUGUUACAUAAAAGUCUUGUGUUCAAGCACUUCAUGUGUUUUUUUCUAUACGUGAAACUUAGAGCAUGUGCUACAAACUUGAGAUGUUCUGACCUUGUUAGUACAUAUUAAGCAUAAAAGGAUAAAAUAGAUCGAAUGGUUGCAUGAAAAUCUGGAUGACUGCCAUCAACAAUUGUCUCCUCCUUGCCUCUCUUGAUCCUGUCUGCCUUUGCCGCCCUCGUUGCUCCAGCCGUAGUCGCCCUUGGUG